rnacentral:rRNA from 1 species
AUUGAACGCUGGCGGCAUGCCUUACACAUGCAAGUCGAACGGCAGCACGGGUGCUUGCACCUGUUGGCGAGUGGCGAACGGGUGAGUAAUACAUCGGCACAUGUCCUGUAGUGGGGGAUAGCCCGGCGAAAGCCGGAUUAAUACCGCAUACGAUCUACGGAUGAAAGCGGGGGACCUUCGGGCCUCGCGCUAUAGGGUUGGCCGAUGGCUGAUUAGCUUGUGGGUGGGGUAAAGGCCUACCAAGGCGACGAUCAGUAGCUGGUCUGAGAGGACGACCAGCCACACUGGAACUGAGACACGGCCCAGACUCCUACGGGAGGCAGCAGGGGGGAAUUUUGGACAAUGGGCGAAAGCCUGAUCAAGCAAUGCCGCGUGUGUGAAGAAGGCCUUCGGGUUGUAAAGCACUUUUGUCCGGAAAGAAAUCCUUGGCUCUAAUACAGUCGGGGGAUGACGGAACCGGAAGAAUAAGCACCGGCUAACUACGU